rnacentral:rRNA from 1 species
GAAACCAACAGGGAUUGCCCCAGUAACGGCGAGUGAAGCGGCAACAGCUCAAAUUUGAAAUCUGGCCCCUAGGGCCCGAGUUGUAAUUUGUAGAGGAUGCUUUUGGUGAGGUGCCGCCCGAGUUCCCUGGAACGGGACGCCACAGAGGGUGAGAGCCCCGUCUGGCUGGCCGCCGAGCCUCUGUAAAGCUCCUUCGACGAGUCGAGUAGUUUGGGAAUGCUGCUCAAAAUGGGAGGUAUAUGUCUUCUAAAGCUAAAUAUUGGCCAGAGACCGAUAGCGCACAAGUAGAGUGAUCGAAAGAUGAAAAGCACCUUGAAAAGAGGGUUAAAUAGUACGUGAAAUUGUUGAAAGGGAAGCGCUUGUGACCAGACUUGGGCGCGGCGGAUCAUCCGGGGUUCUCUCCGGUGCACUUCGCCGCGUCUAGGCCAGCAUCAGUUCGUCGCGGGGGAAAAAGGCUUCGGGAACGUGGCUCCUCCGGGAGUGUUAUAGCCCGUUGCAUAAUACCCUGCGGUGGACUGAGGACCG